GUGGGGAAUAUUGGACAAUGGGCGAAAGCCUGAUCCAGCCAUGCCGCGUGUGUGAAGAAGGUCUUCGGAUUGUAAAGCACUUUAAGUUGGGAGGAAGGGCAGUAAGUUAAUACCUUGCUGUUUUGACGUUACCAACAGAAUAAGCACCGGCUAACUUCGUGCCAGCAGCCGCGGUAAUACGAAGGGUGCAAGCGUUAAUCGGAAUUACUGGGCGUAAAGCGCGCGUAGGUGGUUCAGCAAGUUGGCGGUGAAAUCCCCGGGCUCAACCUGGGAACUGCCUCCAAAACUACUGAGCUAGAGUACGGUAGAGGGUAGUGGAAUUUCCUGUGUAGCGGUGAAAUGCGUAGAUAUAGGAAGGAACACCAGUGGCGAAGGCGACUACCUGGACUGAUACUGACACUGAGGUGCGAAAGCGUGGGGAGCAAACAGGAUUAGAAACCCCAGUAGUCC
rnacentral:rRNA from 1 species